rnacentral:rRNA from 1 species
AACGAACGCNGGCGGCAGGCCUAACACAUGCAAGUCGAACGCCCCGCAAGGGGAGUGGCAGACGGGUGAGUAACGCGUGGGAACAUGCCCUUUAAUUCGGAAUAACUCAGGGAAACUUGAGCUGAUACCGGAUAAGCCCGAGAGGGGAAAGAUUUAUCGCCGAAGGAUUGGCCCGCGUCCGAUUAGCUAGUUGGUGAGGUAAUGGCUCACCAAGCGACGAUCGGUAGCUGGUCUGAGAGGAUGAUCAGCCACAUUGGGACUGAGACACGGCCCAAACUCCUACGGGAGGCAGCAGUGGGAAUAUUGGACAAUGGGCGCAAGCCUGAUCCAGCCAUGCCGCGUGAGUGAUGAAGGCCCUAGGGUUGUAAAGCUCUUUCGCCAGGGACGAUAAUGACGGUACCUGGAUAAGAAGCCCCGGCUAACUUCGUGCC